CCUACGGGGGGCAGCAGUGAGGAAUAUUGGUCAAUGGGCGGAAGCCUGAACCAGCCAAGUAGCGUGCAGGAUGACUGCCCUAUGGGUUGUAAACUUCUUUUAUACGGGAAUAACGCGCCUUACGUAUAGGGCUUUGCAUGUACCGUAUGAAUAAGGACCGGCUAAUUCCGUGCCAGCAGCCGCGGUAAUACGGAAGGUUCGGGCGUUAUCCGGAUUUAUUGGGUUUAAAGGGAGCGUAGGCCGCAUGUUAAGCUUGCUGUGAAAGUUUCGGGCUCAACCCGAGCCUUGCAGUGGAUACUGGCGUGCUUGAGUCCGCGGAAAGCAGGCGGAAUUCGUCGUGUAGCGGUGAAAUGCUUAGAUAUGACGAAGAACCCCGAUUGCGAAGGCAGCUUGCUGCAGCGUAACUGACGCUGAUGCUCGAAAGCGCGGGUAUCGAACAGGAUUAGAUACCCGGGUAGUC
rnacentral:rRNA from 1 species